AAGGUGGAGGAGCGACGGUGAGGAUGGAAGAGGACUUCCACGGGAGCAAUGACAACCUGCAAAAAGGCCCCCCGUUCCUUCUGGGGAAUUAAAGUCUCUGUCGACGAAGGACUUUACGGCGCGGACUCUAAAAAGGAUAUUACGUGGCAUCAUGACAAGUGUUGACGUCAACAGCAUGGCUAGGUGGUCUGUUCCUGUCUUUGGUUAUCUAGCUGUAUGAGUAUUAAAUACCUGUCAUAAAGCUAGAUAACCGAAUGUAGGAAUGACUUCCUUUAAAAUUGAAGCGGGGGAAAAAAAUGCAGAAAUAAAUGUGCGUUGAUGUCAAGGAUUUUCAAUUAGCGCCAUUCUCCCUGUAAAAGACAGAAGCAUUGUUCGAGGGGGUAAAAACGAGGACGGGGUCGCCUGCUCCGGGAUGCCAUCUGCGCCGCCAGCGAGAGACGGCGUGCCCAUGCCAGACGGCACACAAAGGCCUUGGCCCGUCGUCACGUUCUGGAGCCAUCUUGGGAGAUGUUGCCGGGAUAUCCAAAAUGGCUGGUGCUGACAUACAAGGAUGGAGAUGGCAAGCUGUGAAACUUCAGCCUGCAGACCUUGGACUAAACGCAUCAAAAGUCAUCACACAAUUAAUUGUGCCAUCAAUGUUCACAUUUUUGAUUUUACAUUUUAAUAAACAUGUUCCUUGUUUUUUCCUGCCUUUUAUUUUGUAAGUUUCUGUUUUUGUUUCUGCUUUUUUUUCCGGUUCCUACUCCUGCUGGUGUUGGGCGGAGUCUCACCUGUUACUAUUUGCAAUUUGUUUUCAGCCGUGCUGUUUAUAUUUUUUGGAAUUGCCAGCAGACAGAAUAUUUCUUUAAUUUUCCAUUGGAUUAAUAAUUAUUUUUGACUUCUACAUUUUCAUGCCUUAUGUGAGUAUUCCUGUUUGUAUUAUACUUAAAAAAAUAGUGUUUACUUUUGUUAGUCACCAUGGUGCCUUUUUGCAAGGUGUUUUUGUUAGCUUUAGCUUGGGUCAAUUUAGCUCGCUACUGCUGACAACAUUAGUUUUUCUCGGCUGAGUGAUUUUUUGUGGAUGGGCAUUUUUCAAGUCUGUAAAGGAACCUUGGCUUUUUACGUCUGCUUUGAAGUCCAAACUUACUCGAACGUAUCAACUAGUGUAUGGACCUGUUUUUCCUUGCGGAGUAAUACCAAUUACUGGCUGUGUGUGCUCAAUGAUAUGCAGAAUGUGUGUUCAAUAUGGCCUCCUCUUGUGUAAGAUGUGUUCAUUCAAAAUAUGCAAAUAAAUGUCAUAAACUUAAGUUUCUCAUAGUUUCGUUUAAAAACUUUGCAUUGGUAAAUAAUUGCGCUCGAAUAUAGCUGGGAUAGGCUCCAACAUCCCCCGUGACCCCUAGAGCAGUGGUUCUCAACUUUUUUUCAGUGAUGUACCCCCUGUGAACUUUUUUUUUAAUUCAAGUACCCCCUAAUCAGAGCAAAGCAUUUUUGGUUGAAAAAAAGAGAAAGAAGUAAAAUACAGCUCUAUGUCAUCAGUUUCUGAUUUAUUAAAUUGUAUAACAGUGCAAAAUGUAGCUCAUUUGUAGUGGUCUUUCUUGAACUAUUUGGGAAAAAAAGAUAUAAAAAUAACUAAA